rnacentral:tRNA from 1 species
AAAGAUAUAAAGGAUUUUCACCUAUAAUUUAACCCUGACAAAGUUAUGUAAUUUUACUAAUAUCUC